UCUGGUACAGAGGAUGGCUGAAA
rnacentral:piRNA from 1 species